rnacentral:rRNA from 1 species
ACGAACGCUGGCGGCGCGCUUAACACAUGCAAGUCGCGCGAUGAAACUUUAACAGAACCCUUCGGGGCGAAGAUAAAGUGGAUUAGCGGCGGACGGGUGAGUAACACGUGAGUAACCUGCCUUAGACAUUGGGAUAGCCUCGGGAAACCGGGAUUAAUACCAAAUAAAAUCAUAAUGACACAUGUUAUAACGAUCAAAACUCCGGUGGUCUAAGAUGGACUCGCGUCCCAUUAGCUAGUUGGUAGAGUAAAAGCCUACCAAGGCGACGAUGGGUAGCCGGCCUGAGAGGGUGAACGGCCACAUUGGAACUGAGAAACGGUCCAAACUCCUACGGGAGGCAGCAGUGGGGAAUAUUGCACAAUGGAGGGAACUCUGAUGCAGCGACGCCGCGUGAACGAAGAAGGCUUUCGAGUCGUAAAGUUCUUUUAUAUGGGAAGAUAAUGACGGUACCAUAAGAAAAAGCCCCGGCUAACUACGUG